UCGUAUGUUUAAACGAGCUGCUUAUUUAGUUAAACGAGUCGAGCUCGAGUUGACGAGCCGACUCGUUUAAUUAAUCGAGUCGAGUUCGAGUUCAUGUGAGGGAACUCGUUAAACUCGAAUCGGCUCGAUUAUUUAGUAAACCAGUUUUUUUAAAACCGGUUCAAAAUCAAGAUGAGAAAGCGCCAAGGCGGGAAGAAUUUUAGGGUUUCUCAUAUCAUUUCCUUUUUGCGUUUUCGCUCUCUCCUCUCCGAGUCCGACUCUCCCUCUCUCCGUCUCUCGCCUGACGCCUCUCUCCCCCUCGCGCAACUCUCCCGACGAUUACCACGUCGUCUCCUCAUCAGUCAUCCCUUCACGAGAAAAAUCGAGGUGCUCCGCAAGAAUGGAUGCACUCUGGUAGGUGAGUUCGCUUUUUCUGCUACUGGAGUUCCCUUUUAUUUUUGAACCUCAUACUUGUGAUCACGUGGGGAUCAUCUGGAUUUCUUGUUUGAAAAGUUUAAAGGUCGGUAAUGACGUUGAACGCGGUUGAAUUUCUUGGUCAGUAACACUAGUAGGGUUAUUUUUUGUUUGAUUAGUGCACUUAGAUUAUUUGCACGUGCAAGUGUGUUGCUCUCUUUGCUGCCUAAGUUGAUAAACAAAAUUCUAGAACGUGGAAAUCUGAUUUCCUCGUUUGUGUUGGAAAGUGGGAGAAGCUGGAAGAUGACAUUCGACCGUAAUGCUACUCCAAAUUAACCAGUUGGUCCGUUAAAUCCCACUCCCCAAAAUGCUGAUUAGUUUUCCAGAUUGGUUCACUCUUCAUGUUUUAUCUUGAAUGUUUCCAGAUCCUUCAUGUUUGUUUUUCUGAAGAAUGAUUUAAUCUUAUGCUGAUAGUCUUUUAGGCGAGGAAAAAAGGGGAAAAUCCUUAUCGGCAUCUGACAGGUAGGAAUUGAUUUAAAGAACUGGGUUUCUCUUAAAGCUGCAUUGUGAGUUGUUGAACUGCUUAAAAUUCAUGAGAAAGAUCAUAAGCACACUUAAAGUUUGGUUCAUCAGUUAGUAAGGAACAUUCUUAUGUAUUAGAAGCAUCACCAAGGUGUUUUCUGCAAGCAUUUUUUUGUUCUUGUCCUGCUGCUGUUGACAUUUAUCUAUCUUUUUUUUUGUUCUUGUCCUGCUGCUGUUGACAUUUAUCUGUCACCAAGGUGUUUUCUUGAUUUUUUGGUGAGGUGUACUCACUCUGAUGAGAAUAGCAACAAUCUUCUCGACAAGUUGCAAGAUGCAUUUGGGAGAGGCCAGAACCCUUCCUCUGUUCUUCCCAUGAUUUCAGCUGAGCUUGCAACACUAACAAUAGCUUGAAAAAGAUUCAACUAAGGAUUGGAACAGUAAGAGAAACCCAGUUCUCUGCUAGUUGAGUAGUUUCUGCUCAUGGGUUCAUUUUUACAUUUCUUGCUAUUGGGAUCGUAGUAUGCUUCUGCACACUCUGUGGGCAUGUGGUAGCCAACAACAUCAACGUCCUCCUUCUUACUUUCGUAUCCUUUAUUGCUGAUAUAGAAAAGUUGGCAAACUUCUGUGCUUUUUCCUCUGUUCCCGCUUAGAGCAGAUCAAGCAUCAUAGGGAGUAUCUGCAUAUAACAUCUAUUACAGUUGGCAUGUGUUUCUCAAAGGCACUUAUUUGGAACCAUCUCGUGGUUUCACUUGAUUGCUGCUCGUAAUAGCUACCAAGGAGAUUCCCCAAGUGUAUUUCCCUUCUAGAUGCUAUUCAUUAUAAAACUUCUGUGGCAAUCUGAUUACAGGGACGCAUUUGAAAGGAGCCAUAUGUGCACAGGUGGGAUUUGAAACUGUAUUGGUCUUCGGGUUUGUUUCUACAACUAUUUGAACAAAAUAUGUCAAUGACAAAUUGUUGAUUUGUUGCCUUUUAGGACUCUAACCUGUAUAGCAUGGAUAAUGAUAAAAAGUUCACUUCUAAUGUUGUUUUU